AAAGGGUAAAAAACUAAAAUGUAAAGAUGGAAUCUUUUUUAUCUGAUCCAUGAUGAAAAGAGCAUUUCUUAUUUGUCGUGCUCUUACCUCUCAUAUUUUUAAUUUUAUUUUUUUAAUUAACUGCAAAAUGUAGAAGUCUCAGGCAGCAUUUCCUGCCCUUACUUUACGAGAUGUGCGAAGAAGCAUUCCAUUAGGGCCAACAGCCAGUAAAAAGGAUGUCAUUUGACACCCUUCCACAGCUAUGCAUACCAGGCUGGAACCAAGCGGGAUUAUGUGAGUGGAUAGAAAGCCCUUCUAGAGAGAGGAUUUACUCGUACUGUUUUUCUUUACACAUUCUGCUCUCUGAAGAUAAUAAAUCAGCAAUUGGAUUUGCAGAAACAACUCUCACGACGGCUAAAGAAUUCCGGCACAAAGUAGAUGAAGGCAGAGAUCUGGCCUCUGUAAAGCAGCUCAGAGCGCCCGCGGGAAGCUGAGACCGAACCGAGCCGUGUGCGAGGGGACGGAACAGCGCCUGUGCCUGAACCAUACUGCUCUUCUAGCAGGGGCAGGUCGUAGGCUGGGUUUCCAGAGCUCGGAUCAAACCUCACGGCAGCUUCUGCUUUUAUGGAUUAUUUUAACUGGAAAUCGCAUGGAAGUUACUCCCAUUUUAGCAAGACUUCAAAUACUAAGCACAUCAUGGAGGACUGCUUGGGUGUGUCCCUUCCAGAAAAGGACAGCAGGAAAAUGGGAACACUUUUUCUGUACUCUGAGCCUUCAUGGAAAAAGGAAGGUAGGCAAAUGGGCCUGCAGGGCUACUAUGGGCCUGCAGGGCUACUGACAUAGAAGAAAACUACAGCUGGAGCUACACACCCUCCAAGACUUGACAAGAGCCACCUUGGCAUACAGAGGAGAGCAGAUCAGAAGCCACAAAGCUUCUGGCUCCUGUUCCUCUAGGUGUUAACUACCCAGUGACUCCAUGAAACCUCAAAAUGACUACAGCUUUUCACUGAUGGUACCUGUUAGCAAGCUCUUAAUAAAAUCAACCUGAUAUUCAAACUUG